AUUUAAUGUUAAUUAGAAUAUAAGUAUGUGCUUAUUUGAUUCCUUUGUGUUAUUUAGGUGAUUUGGAGGCAUUGAUUGUAACAUCAUGUAAAUUGGAACUCAAUUAUAUUGCAUG